UCCGAUCAUCUAAUUUCAUCUAAUCAAAAUCUAAUUAAGACCUAAAUGAUCCAAAGUUUGACUAUCAGAUCAAAUCGGAUUCGAAGUGAUAGGACUGAGGUUUCUUCAUCGAUUUCAUAAAAUCAAAUAGAGAGAGAAAAUCAGAGGAGAAAAAAUUUAUGAGGUACAAUUCGAAUUGAUCAGAUGACACAAUCCAACAUUACGAUUGAUCCAAUAUCUCGGUUGGUGAAAUCAACAUGAUCAAAUCAAAUCAUGGCUAGAUCGGAAUCAUGGAUGAUCAAAUCUAAAGAUUCAUGGUAUGAUUAAGAUGGGUGCCAAUACGUUGUCUGACAAUCAUGGAUCAGGAUUCUUCAUUAGAAUCAGAUCAGACUUAUUAAAAGAAAUUUCUUCAUUCACUAACCUUUUUUUUUAGAGAGAGAAUCAAU
rnacentral:lncRNA from 1 species